GUGUCAGCCGCCGCGGUAAUACCAGCACCCCGAGUGGUCGGGACGAUUAUUGGGCCUAAAGCAUCCGUAGCCGGUACUGCAAGUCUUCCGUUAAAUCCACCUGCUCAACAGUUGGGCUGCGGAGGAUACUACAGCGCUAGGAGGCGGGAGAGGCAAGCGGUACUCAGUGGGUAGGGGUAAAAUCCAUUGAUCCAUUGAAGACCACCAGUGGCGAAGGCGGCUUGCCAGAACGCGCUCGACGGUGAGGGAUGAAAGCUGGGGGAGCAAACCGGAUUAGAUACCCGGGUAGUCCCAGCUGUAAACGAUGCAGACUCGGUGAUGGGCUGGCCUUGUGCCAACCCAGUGCCGCAGGGAAGCCGUUAAGUCUGCCGCCUGGGGAGUACGGUCGCAAGACUGAA
rnacentral:rRNA from 1 species